UCCAGACUCCUACGGGAGGCAGCAGUGAGGAAUAUUGGUCAAUGGGCGGGAGCCUGAACCAGCCAAGUCGCGUGAGGGAAGACGGCCCUACGGGUUGUAAACCUCUUUUGUCGGGGAGCAAGGAGAGUCACGUGUGACUCAUUGAGAGUACCCGAAGAAAAAGCAUCGGCUAACUCCGUGCCAGCAGCCGCGGUAAUACGGAGGAUGCGAGCGUUAUCCGGAUUUAUUGGGUUUAAAGGGUGCGUAGGCGGAGUGUCAAGUCAGCGGUAAAAGUUCGGGGCUCAACCCCGUCGUGCCGUUGAAACUGACACCCUUGAGUGAGUGAGAAGUAAGCGGAAUGCGUGGUGUAGCGGUGAAAUGCAUAGAUAUCGCGCAGAACUCCGAUUGCGAAGGCAGCAUGCCGGCUCCACACUGACGCUGAGGCACGAAAGCGUGGGUAUCGAACAGGAUUAGAUACCCGCGUAA
rnacentral:rRNA from 1 species